rnacentral:rRNA from 1 species
CAUUGUCGAAACCUGCACAAACGCAGAAAGACCCGCGAACAUGUUUAUUAACUACCUCAGGGUUUGGGGAUCGUGAGAGCGUUCCCCAACUCCGAGUGUCGGGGGGGAGACUCCCCGACAUCACAACGAACCCCGGCGCGGAAAGCGCCAAGGAAAACAAACUAGAUUGGGAAGCCGCGUUCGCGCGACCUCCUUAGAAUCGAAUCAAAACGACUCUCGGCAACGGAUAUCUCGGCUCUCGCAUCGAUGAAGAACGUAGCGAAAUGCGAUACUUGGUGUGAAUUGCAGAAUCCCGUGAACCAUCGAGUCUUUGAACGCAAGUUGCGCCCGAAGCUUUCGGGCUGAGGGCACGUCUGCCUGGGUGUCACGCAACGUCGCCCCCACCCCAUCCAUAAUGGGAGGGUGCGUAUGAUGGCCUCCCGUGAGCUACCAUUUGCGGUUGGCCUAAACACGAGUCCUCGGCGCGUUGUGCGCCACGGCCGGCGGUGGUCGAACAUAUGUGAAGCCCUGACGGAAGCCGUGUGCCUACUCCGACCAUAAAGAGGUACUCAAGACCCUAACGCACGUCGAUGACGAUUGCCUACGACGCGACCCCAGGUCAGGCGGGACCACCCGCUGAGUUUAAGCAUAUCAAUAAGCGGAGGA